UAGCCGGCCAUGUACUUUGCAAAGCCAUUGGCAAUGUUCAAACGUGUUAGCUAUAGUCUUAAUACUGUGGAAACAGUUAAUGAUUGAUCAAAUCAACUCAUGUCAACGCAUGUGUUGCUAGUUAACAUUUGUGUUUGAGCAGGACAUGCAAAAAUAGUGUGCACAGGGGCAAGUUCUGAUGAAGGCUGUUGCUGAAACUCAAGUCAUAUUUUUCUCUGUUACCCUUGACUCUUUCCAACAUUAAUCCGGACUAAAUCUCACAAGAAAAUGUUGGAGCACAGUUUUGCUGGGUGUGGAUGUUCACAGGGUACCUUACAUUUUGAAGCUAACAUUUUAAAUGUGUACUGGACUAAUUAUUUAGAGCUUACUGGAGCCGAAAGAAGCGGAGGUCUCGCUCUGGAGAGUACAGGAGGCAUUCCCGCUCGCCCCACAGGGAGAAGCGUCACUCCAGUUCCAGGGACCACAGCGAGAGAGAGCGGGAGACACCGCAUCCGCUCACUGCAAGGGCCACAGCCGAGAACGUAGUCUAGAGCAGGAACGCCGCUAGAAACUAAGGUAUCGAACUGCAUCAUACCCUCCUUUACCUCAAUAACUCAUACAACCAGACCUUUUCAAAAUUAUUUGCUGAAAUUAUAUUAGUAACUAGUCAUCACGCAUAUAUAGAAUAUAUACAUUUUUUGCAUUGUUAUACAGUAGACUAAAUUAAGGUUGACAGGCAGUUCACUUUGUGCUGCUGAACUGUGUCAUUCCACGAAUAGAGUGCCUUUAGGUAGUGUCAUUUAGUCAACUUUUUCACCUAAUUUUAACAUUCGGUCAUAAAAGAGCACAUGUUCAACUUCCUAACAAACAGGUUUUCGCAUCUCAAGAGGUUAAAUUAAGGAACAUGACUAUAAAAGUGACCGGGGUUGAUCGUAACAGGGUUGACGAUUUCCUCUUAAUUCAGCCCUAACUCUCCUUGUGACAGGGGGAAUGGAAGCUUGUUGUGUGCUACAGGGAGAGAAAAUUGAAUAGAAGCUUAACAAAAAGCUUGUAUUCAUGUUCAACUUGUUAAACAUUUCUUGUCUGUUUAUCGGUAACAGGGUUGACGUGUUAUGGUCGACGCGCUCAGUUUUCCUCCACCAAAAGAGUACAACCAGCUCACCGGCAUUACACUAUGAUUAGACUUUUAAAUAUUCCAU